GCAGUCCAUGGGGUUGCAAAGAGUCAGACACGACUUGGCGACUGAACAACAACAACAAGAAGAAGAAAUGGAGACCUGGAGUGGUGAAUAGCCUCGAUCAAGGUCAUCACCCUCAGAAGUAGAAGACACAGGCCGCCUCUAGCCCAGACUCUCUGCCCUCACCUCCAGUGCCACCUCCUCUAUCCCACUGCUGGGAACAUCUGCUGGGCCAGCCUGGGUGAGCGCCCUGGAAAGAUGGCAGGGACCUCAUUCCCCUCCACUGCCUGUUGGGAGACUUGUCUCUCUUUCUACUUCUUAUAAUAUAAAGUGUAUGUGUGUGUGUGUGUGUGUGUGCAUGCACACACGUGUGUAUUUAAAAAAUCUUCUGUCAGCACCAUAUUAAUCUGAAAUUGCAGCAGGAAUAAUACUUCAGUGUCCUCUUUACUUUCCCUGGUUCCAACAAUCUUACAGUAUCAAACAGCCUCCGCUUCAGAGCAAAAAUAAUAAUGAAUGACUUAAAAUAACUCUGCUGAAGAAACUGAAGGUUUGAUUUGAAUUGCAGAGGUAAUGACUCCCUUUUAGUUCUUCUUUUUCUUCAUUUCCUGGCAAAGGCUUUCAGAAUAUACUAGAUCCUCCUACAUCCAAAGAUUCUGAGAGUCAAGAAAAACCAGAGUCAAAUUAUUUGACCUAAAAGUGUGUAUGUUAGGUAUCUAUCCUGGUAAUUCCAAAAUACCACCAAUGUCACCUUAAGAAUAGGAAGGUGAUAGGAAGGAAUUGAUGUUUUAGUCUCUCUGAGGCUUUCUCUGGUCCAUGGGGAAUGAUGUGGUCUCCCCACCACUGUACUGCCUACACGAGCAUCUUCCUCUGCAAUGGGUCAGAGUGGUCCAUAUGCCACAGAAGCCUAUUACACGCUUAUCCCAUUAAUCACUGUGAUCCGUAUCAAUAGAAGGGAAUUCUCAGAAGAAGCUGAAAUGCAGAUUUAACCAAUGUGGCCUUGAGCAGAUUCAUUAUAACUCCUUGCAUAGGUCCCCAGGGGACAUGGCAGGUCACGGGUAUACUGUGCGCUUCCGUAGAAACCCUGCUUAACCCCCAUGGGCAUAAAUGAAGCUGAAAUGAUCAGAGAAAUAUACACUGGUGUAUGCUGGCCCUGUGGCUCUGUUCAAUCAUAAUAAAGUUCUGUGGAUUUAAUCAAUUUUCUCUGUAGAGUGUCACAGCAGACAGAGCUGUGAAUUGCACAUUCUGUUUUGGCUUUGAGAAUAGUUCUAUUCAACCAAGUAGCCAAUGGGAGCACAGUUAAUUAAUAAAAGUACAUUCCUUUUCAGUACAA